rnacentral:rRNA from 1 species
UACGUAGGGUGCGAGCGUUGUCCGGAAUUAUUGGGCGUAAAGAGCUCGUAGGCGGUUUGGCAAGUCGGGUGUGAAAACUCCGGGCUCAACUCGGAGACGCCACUCGAUACUGCUAUGACUUGAGUCCGGUAGGGGAGUGCGGAAUUCCUGGUGUAGCGGUGAAAUGCGCAGAUAUCAGGAGGAACACCGGUGGCGAAGGCGGCACUCUGGGCCGGUACUGACGCUGAGGAGCGAAAGCGUGGGGAGCGAACAGG